rnacentral:lncRNA from 1 species
CAAAAAUUAGAUAUUAAUUCAACAUUUAUAAUAAAAUUAUCCCAGUAACCCUGUGUUCCUUGACAUUCUCAUCUCUCUCUCUCUCUCUCUCCCCCCCGCCCCCAUCUAGUCGACAAAGGAACUGCAAGCAAGCAAAGUGAUUGGUUGCUUUUUGCAACAGAACCUGGUUGCUGUGACUCGUGAUGAGCGAUCUUCUGGCUCCAGAUUUGAGAGUGGCGUCAAGUAGGAUUUUUGUGAUUUCAGGUGAGGGAGCGUAUUUGCUCUUAUAGCUCCAGAUUUGAGAGUGGCGUCAAGUAGGAUUUUUGUGAUUUCAGGUGAGGGAGCGCAUUUGUGGCUACGUUCUAGUUUUAGAUCUCAUCCAAGCACAACUCACACUACUAUAGACAUUUUGGUUGAAAUAAUGGCAUUGUGAUGGCAAGGCAAUGGCGUUUGUUUAUCAGAUUUGUUGGUAAUUUUUGUGCGGCUGUAGAGGCAAUUUUGUUGGAUUUUAUUGGUGGUGGUGGCGGUUUUGUUGGUCUUUGGUCAUUGUUGAUGACGACGGUAGAUGUGGUUUUGUCGGUGGUGUGGUGGUCGAUCGGUGGUGGUGGCGGCGACAAUAGUUCUGAAGUUGAAAAUCAUAGUUUGUUGGAGAUGGUGGUAGUGGUGGCUAUUGUUGAUAUAAGCGGUGGUAAGUGCCUGGCGACAUAUUUGGGGAUAUUUUUGGAGGGUUCUGGUUGUUGAGUUGUAGGCUGGUGAUUGUAGUGUUUGGUUGCCAUGUUUGAGAUGAUGAUUUUGCUAUCAGAAGAUGAUGGUGGUGGUUCGAGCUGCGCUAUUUCAACGGCCAUACAACUACUGGCAAUGGUGAGGUUGUGGUCACAAGUGUUGGUGUAAGUCAUAAGUGAUUUCAUUGUUUGUGACCAAUAAGUUGGUUAAUGUGUGAUCAUUAUAUAAUAUCUAACUAAUGAAAUCGAUAAAUUGUGAAUAAUAAAUAAUGUAUAACCUAAAAAUUUGUUAAGUUGUGAUCGAAAAAUAAUUUGUCG